UUUAAAAUAUAUAAACAGUGAAAGUGCUUUUACAUGUUGAUUCUAAUUAUUUGGUUUUCUUCAAUGUAUCAUUUAUAGUCUGAUAGUAAAUAUUAGCCUUUUUUAAAAAUCAUUUUUGGAAAUCAGCAUGCCUGAAAUCAGUAGAAAAUAUUGUUUCAUAUUAUAGUUUUAAAUUAAUGGCUUUCUAUUUUGAGAAAAAGAUCUAUAAAAAAGGAAAGAAAAUUACUUUCACUUUCAGAUUUAUAUUAAAUGGGGGAAAGGAAGCACUUUGAUUAAUCAAAUAUGGGUAGUUGCAUUUUUUGUAUUUUAAGGCCUACAAUUGAAUUUUUAAAAUAUUAAGAUUUAUAUGCAUCAUUAGAUUUUUAUGUAAUUGUUAAAUAAGAAGUUUUAUUGCAUAGCAAUAUAAUAUUUCCCACAGAACGUAACCAAAAGUUAGCGUGCAAUAAAUUCUAAUAUUGCACCAGUGCAAUAAAUCUUCAAAAUUCAUGACGUCAUCAACGACAAAAUCUUAGUUUAAACCAAUUUUUACUCUCAAAUAUUAUAUUGCUAUACAUAAAAGGGUUAUUGCAUGAAUAUUUGGGAAUAUUGUCCCUCGUAGAACAUAUAUUGCACUCGCAAGCUCGUGCAAUAUAAAAUUCUACUCGGGACAAUAUUCCCCAAUAUUCAUGCAAUAACCCUAUAGUAUACAAUUUUUAUUUCAAUAAAGGGACCAAUAUAUAUGACCACAGAUAUUUUGUAAAUGUUUGUAUUUUUUGUAAAAUUGUUAUUUUUAUCUGUUGAUAAAUAGAUUCAUUAUAUUUUGCUAUUUAGCA
rnacentral:lncRNA from 1 species